AUUGAACGCUGGCGGCAGGCCUAACACAUGCAAGUCGAGCGGUAGCACAGAGAGCUUGCUCUCGGGUGACGAGCGGCGGACGGGUGAGUAAUGUCUGGGAAACUGCCUGAUGGAGGGGGAUAACUACUGGAAACGGUAGCUAAUACCGCAUAAUGUCGCAAGACCAAAGUGGGGGACCUUCGGGCCUCAUGCCAUCAGAUGUGCCCAGAUGGGAUUAGCUAGUAGGUGGGGUAACGGCUCACCUAGGCGACGAUCCCUAGCUGGUCUGAGAGGAUGACAAGCCACACUGGAACUGAGACACGGUCCAGACUCCUACGGGAGGCGGCAGUGGGGAAUAUUGCACAAUGGGCGCAAGCCUGAUGCAGCCAUGCCGCGUGUGUGAAGAAGGCCUUCGGGUUGUAAAGCACUUUCAGCGGGGAGGAAGGCGUUAAGGUUAAUAACCUUGGCGAUUGACGUUACCCGCAGAAGAAGCACCGGCUAACUCCGUGCCAGCAGCCGCGGUAA
rnacentral:rRNA from 1 species